rnacentral:lncRNA from 1 species
AAUAUACUCUUAUUCUCAAAAAUAGAAGCAAAAUGAUUUUAUUUGAAAAAAAUGAAAAUUGUAAAAGCAUACAAUAAUAAGGAUUUUGAAGAUAGAUAAUGAGCCAAUAAAAAUCGGAGUUUUGUCCACGUGUCAAGAAGUGAAAUCAGUGUUCCAAAACACAUUACAGAGGAUAACAAGCAAAGCUAUUCUCUCUAUUUUCCUCAAACAAACAAAAAAAAUUCUCAGCACAGUGAGAUAGAGAGACAAUGGCGGUGGCAGCAAGCACAAGCACAGUGUUAGUCCCUCGUCUACUUACAACAACCACCAACGUUACUCGUUGCUCUGCUUUGCCAUAUCUUCCUCCUCGUCUCUCCACCACUCCUUCUUCUUCUUCUUCUUCCCUUUUCCUUAAACACUCUAUUUCAGGUAUUAUAACUAUCAACACACUUUUUUGGAUAGCCACUUCAAUUCUAUUAAUAAUGCUCACAUAUAUGUUCAUUGUAUAUGUAAUUAGGCUUGUUUGGAUUAUCUUUUGGCUUAGGAUACUUUUCAAUUACAAUAAGGGCUUAUGCAUAACCUAUUUUAUAGCAUCUGAUAAAAUUAAGUUGUUUUUGUAGGUAGUAUAUGCUAUAAGCUGUUUCAAUAUGCUGUCUUGGAGAACUUAUAAAAAUAAGCUGAAAAAAGCUUAUGAAAAAUGUCAUAAGCUGUUUUUAUAAAUUUUUCCUAUCAAACUCACGAAACUUAUGGCAAUAGAUAAACUCAAAUAAGUCAAUCCAAACAGGUCCUAAGUUUGUGUUUAGUUUUAGCUGAAUCCCUAACCUUCAGAAUACAAAUUCAAGUUCUCAUUAACAAAAAUUGUAUCUUCAAAAAAAAUUUGUGUGGGCUAAUUUAGCUUCUUAAAAAAAAAAAAAAAAUUGUAUCUUUCGUAAGUUGUUUUUUCAUAAACUACCUUGACAACCUUAUAAUAAUACAUAAAAGCUUAUGCAUAAGUUAUUUUUCAUAAACUAAAAAAUAAGUCAAUCCCAGCAUCUGAUAAAAUUUAAUUUUUUUUGUAUAUGCUAUAAGCUCUUUGCAUAAGCUAUCUUGGAGAACAUAUAAAAAUAAGCUGAAAAAAGCUUAUGAAAAAUGUCAUAAGCUGUCUUUAUAAAUUUUGCCAAACAAUUUCACAAAACUUAUGACAGUAGAUAAAUUCAAAUAAGUCAAUCCAGGCCCUAGGUCUGUGUUUAUUUGCUGAAGAAAAAUAUCC